CGGUAAUGCAACGGUCAAACACGACCGUAUAGCGUAUGUUUUUACAUAUAAAAACUUUCCAAACAACAUGAAACCUGUUCGAAAUGCUUUCCAAAUCAGCCGCUUGUGAGACUACAUGAUGGUUAAGAAGAAAGUCAGCUUUGUUGACCGCAAGAUUCCCGUUUCUGCCUGAAGGCGUCACCUAUAGUGAAGACCGAAUGUCUGGAGCAGGCCACGGGAGACAUAUGAUUCUCAUUGUGAGGAUGAAAGGCGUCUAUACGUCUGUUUUUCCCCGUCUUUUGUACGUCUGGGGAGCGCCGGAUUGGGUGGGCGGAACCGCUUGUGUCGUGAUCCCCUCUCAUCCAUGUGGUGUUGCUUUAUGCUCCGUGGGUAUGGAUUCAUUGUAGUGAAAUUGAAACUUCAUGACAUGUCAUUGUUAUAAACUUAUAAAUAAUUUAUUUCGCCCCGAAGAGUGAUUGCUGCUUCAGAGGUGCCCAAUUGGCUGAGACAAGGUUCGUCUUUGACCCAGUUUGACCAUGUUGAAACAUUUUCCCUUUAUAUCUCUCGUGCGUGCUUCCUUUUAACUCUAGCUGCUUGUCAGCACGUCGCUUGGCCCGUUUUUUAACU